GCUGUUCUGUUCCCUUCCUCCGCGCGCGUGGUACCAGCCUCCAGCGGCCUCUACCGGACGUCGGUUGCGCGCAGGAAAGGAACCUCCAACUCCGCAGCCUGGAGGUGCCCAUCGAUCCCAAAGCCUGCAGAGUCAGGUACCGACGUCGGCCCAGCCUGGAGGUACCAACGUCGGCCACGCCGACGCCUAGACCCGCGACGGAGGGGAACGGCGGCCUGGGGAAGGUAAGGGAAGGGAGGGAACCCUCUCCCUCUCUUCCACUCCCCCUCCUCCUCAGGCGGCUGCCACAACGGUACCGGCCCGUCCGGCCUGCCCUCCACCGCCCCCGCCGGCGCUGCCCUCCGCCGCAAACUCCCUCCCCCAGCCGCCGCCGACGCUCCCGCUUCCUAGACCACACCGCAGCGAGCUCCCGUUUCCGAAGCGAGCGAGCAAGCGUUGCGUGCCCGUUG
rnacentral:rRNA from 1 species